rnacentral:rRNA from 1 species
GACGAACGCUGGCGGCGUGCCUAAUACAUGCAAGUUGAGCGCUGAAGGUUGGUACUUGUACCAACUGGAUGAGCAGCGAACGGGUGAGUAACGCGUGGGGAAUCUGCCUUUGAGCGGGGGACAACAUUUGGAAACGAAUGCUAAUACCGCAUAAAAACUUUAAACACAAGUUUUAAGUUUGAAAGAUGCAAUUGCAUCACUCAAAGAUGAUCCCGCGUUGUAUUAGCUAGUUGGUGGGGUAAAGGCUCACCAAGGCGAUGAUACAUAGCCGACCUGAGAGGGUGAUCGGCCACAUUGGGACGGAGACACGGCCCAAACUCCUACGGGAGGCAGCAGUAGGGAAUCUUCGGCAAUGGACGAAAGUCUGACCGAGCAACGCCGCGUGAGUGAAGAAGGUUUUCGGAUCGUAAAACUCUGUUGGUAGAGAAGAACGUUGGUGAGAGUGGAAAGCUCAUCAAGUGACGGUAACUACCCAGAAAGGGACGGCUAACUACGUG